GCCUGACCAAAGAUGGCAGUAAUGAAAAUAUUGAUUCCCUUGAGGAAGUCCUUAAUAUUUUAGCAGAGGAAAGCUCUGAUUGGUUUUAUGGCUUUCUCUCAUUUCUCUAUGAUGUAUUGACUCCUUUUGAAAUACUAGAAGAAGAAGAGAGCGAAGCUGCAGAUGAUGUUGAUGGUACGUCACAGAAUGAAGGGGUUCAGGGAAAAAAGACUUGUGUGAUUUUGGAUUUACAGAACCAGUGACUGAGAGACUGAUUUGAUUUUCAAAAAUGCCCAUGAAAUCAUCAGUCUUAAUAUAACAGAAAUUUACGGCAUUGAGGGGAAGCUCCCACACGGACGCUAUAAAGAUUGAACUAAAGUCAGCCAUGCAAUGUAGUUUCACUAGUUGAAAGCCUUUCAGUGACUUUUCCAUUUUUGUGGCAGGACGACAAAUACUACACACUUGUGUAAAUAUGUAGAUUAAAAUGUGUAUCUGCAGUUGUGUAGUUGGUUUCUCUAUGUGCUUCAAUUUGUGCAUUUUGUGCACAAAGCUUACCAAGCUAAGUGUAAUAACCUCUACUGUUAACAAUAUAACAUUUGUCUUUCUAGCAAGCAUUAACUGAAGCAUUUUGUAACAGCUUUGAUUGUAAAGUAUUCUGGCAUGACUGCAUUAUGUAAAUAUAUAUUUAUAUGUUAAUCCUUAAUAUAGACAUGACAAUGAUAAUUCUCCUGUGAAAAAUAAUUUUAAUAAAUAAUUUAUUUUGUGAUUUACUGAUUUCUCAGAUAGAUUCUUUUUACCUGUUCAAAUAAAAGCAUUUCAUUUAAAAGUGCUUGAAAAUUUUACAGAACCAUUUAUUUCUAAGUUAGCUGUCAUCUAUUGUAUUCAGAAGAUAUGAUGUAAUUUUUGUGGUUUAUCCCCACUGAUUUGUCUGUUUUCAAACUGAGUUUUCAGUCAUUUUUUUAAUAUAACAAUCAUACCACAAGGGCUGUUCUUAAUUUGUUUGAGGUUUUUUUAAGGUGAGCCUUUUAUGGAAGUGGGAAGCUGUGAUUAUGUAUUUCUAAUGUAAUACUGAAUAUAUUAAAGACUAGUUGGAAAUUAGAA